rnacentral:rRNA from 1 species
AUCUGGGCGGCGGAAUUCAGGAUGGCUGGUGGGUUUCGUGCUCGUCUGGCCGUUUGAUAUUUCCGUCGCCGCGUCAGACGUCGCGACCUGUUUGUCGUCGGUCCUUGCUCGGAGGAAUCGCGAUCGAGUUCGUUGCGGAGUGCGCUUCGGUGUGCUACGCGGCGAAGACGCGNCUCUCUGGCCGACGACGGACAGUAAGCAACGGUGUCCGACGCCGUGUCUCGCACUCGGCGCCGGUACCGGUCUGCGACGAUUUCUUCGGGCCUCUUUCCGACCCGUCUUGAAACACGGACCAAGGAGUCUAACAUGCGCGCGAGUCGCGGGGUUUCGAGCGUNCCACGGUNCGCUCGUCACUCACAAAACCCGUACGUUGAAGGCGUAAUGAAAGUGAACAGGGAGGAUGGCGUUCCGAGUCCACGUACCGUGAUCGAGUGUCGCGGCCGGACGUCCGCACUCCCGGGGCGUCUCAGUGGCUCGUCGCGGAUGCGGACAGUCGUCUUUCGGGGUGGCUGUCGGUCUGCGNCGGACCGA